rnacentral:lncRNA from 1 species
UUUCAUUUUCCAUUUGUAUAAACUCUUCAAAUGCAGUGACGAUGGUUGUAAUUCAAGCCUAUUUCUUUUCUUUUCUUUUCUUUUUUUCCUUCCAGCCAGCCUUUCUGCAAACCAACAGCAAGGAGUCAUUUAGAACGCCAACAGUGGGCUCAGCAGGUUGGCUGCAAAUCAGAAUCGGGGCAGGUGACCGAAGCAGAAGGUUUGAUGGCAAAUACAUGCUCCACCCACUCUAGAGACCAGCCACUUCCAUAGCAAUGCUGCCAGCUCCAUUCCUGUCCUGAGAUUUCUUGCGGCAUGACUGGUGACACAUAGGCUCCAGUUACAACCUCUUGGAAAAAAAGGUACAGAUGGAUUGGACAGUAUUAAGCUACAAGAAAUUGCAAGGCAGUGCUCUCCACUUACAUACUGGAUGUGAUGUUGAAGCCCCCAACCCGAGCACUAAUGGUUUGGAUAAGACCAGGCCUGCAGGAAAAGUGAAGGCAAAACUGGAGAAGUCAUGGAGUUUCUCUGCACCUCCAAUCCCCAUUUGUGAAAUGGCGACAAAAGGAGUUCCAUCCUUUUCUGGGCCCUUGCACAGGUAAAUAUAUAAGAUGUUGCACAUUGCUCAGUAUGGUAAUGGGGUGC